rnacentral:rRNA from 1 species
UCGAGGGGCAGCACGAGGUAGCAAUACUUUGGUGGCGACCGGCGCACGGGUGAGUAACGCGUAUGCAACCUACCCUGUACAGGGGGAUAGCCCGGAGAAAUUCGGAUUAAUACCCCAUAACGAUAUGAAGAGGCAUCUUUUUAUAUUUAAAGCUUCGGCGGUACGGGAUGGGCAUGCGUGACAUUAGCUAGUUGGUAAGGUAACGGCUUACCAAGGCUUCGAUGUCUAGGGGUCCUGAGAGGGUGAUCCCCCACACUGGUACUGAGACACGGACCAGACUCCUACGGGAGGCAGCAGUGAGGAAUAUUGGUCAAUGGGCGUAAGCCUGAACCAGCCAUCCCGCGUGAAGGAAGAAGGCGCUAUGCGUCGUAAACUUCUUUUCCAGAGGAAUAAAAUUUUGUACGAGUACGGAACUGAAGGUACUCUGGGAAUAAGCAUCGGCUAACUCCGUGCCAGCAGCCGCGGUAAUACGGAGGAUGCAAGCGUUAUCCGGAUUUAUUGGGUUUAAAGGGUGCGUAGGCGGAUUAAUAAGUCAGUGGUGAAAACCUUCAGCUUAACUGGAGAACUGCCAUUGAUACUGUUAGUCUUGAGUACGGUCAAGGUAGGCGGAAUGUGUAAUGUAGCGGUGAAAUGCUUAGAUAUUACACAGAACACCGAUUGCGAAGGCAGCUUACUGGGCCAUUACUGACGCUGAGGCACGAAAGCGUGGGGAGCGAACAGGAUUAGAUACCCUGGUAGUCCACGCCGUANACGAUGAUCACUCGCUGUUGGCGNUACACAGUCAGCGGCUAAGCAAAAGCAUUAAGUGAUCCACCUGGG